AGAGCGAACGCUGGCGGCAGGCCUAACACAUGCAAGUCGAACGGACUCUUCGGAGUUAGUGGCGGACGGGUGAGUAACACGUGGGAACGUGCCUUUAGGUUCGGAAUAGCUCCUGGAAACGGGUGGUAAUACCGAAUGUGCCCUUCGGGGGAAAGAUUUAUCGCCUUUAGAGCGGCCCGCGUCUGAUUAGCUUGUUGGUGAGGUAAUGGCUCACCAAGGCUACGAUCAGUAGCUGGUCUGAGAGGAUGACCAGCCACAUUGGGACUGAGACACGGCCCAAACUCCUACGGGAGGCAGCAGUGGGGAAUCUUGCGCAAUGGGCGAAAGCCUGACGCAAGCCAAUGCCGCGUGUAUGAUGAAAGGUCUUAGGAUUGUAAAAAUACUUUCACCGGUGAAGAUAAAUGACUGUAGCCGGAGAAAGAAGCCCCGGACUAACUUCGUGACCAGCAGCCCGAC
rnacentral:rRNA from 1 species